GUGCUCACUUUGGCAGUUCAUAUACUAAAAUUGGAAAAAUACAGAAAUUAGCAUGGCCCCUGUACAAGAAUGACACAGAAAUUUGUGAAGCAUUCCAUAUUUUU
ensembl:snRNA U6 U6 spliceosomal RNA